CCUGCAGCUUGCUGCGGGUACUCGAGUGGCGAACGGGUGAGUAACACGUGGGUGAUCUGCCUUGCACUUCGGGAUAAGCUUGGGAAACUGGGUCUAAUACCGGAUAGGACAGCUGUUUAGUGUCAGUUGUGGAAAGUUUUUUCGGUGCAAGAUGAGCUCGCGGCCUAUCAGCUUGUUGGUGGGGUAAUGGCCUACCAAGGCGUCGACGGGUAGCCGGCCUGAGAGGGUGUACGGCCACAUUGGGACUGAGAUACGGCCCAGACUCCUACGGGAGGCAGCAGUGGGGAAUAUUGCACAAUGGGCGGAAGCCUGAUGCAGCGACGCCGCGUGGGGGAUGAAGGCCUUCGGGUUGUAAACUCCUUUCGACAGGGACGAAGCGUAAGUGACGGUACCUGUAUAAGAAGCACCGGCUAACUACGUGCCAGCAGCCGCGGUAAUACGUAGGGUGCGAGCGUUGUCCGGAAUUACUGGGCGUAAAGAGCUCGUAGGUGGUUUGUCGCGUCGUCUGUGAAAUUCCGGGGCUUAACUCCGGGCGUGCAGGCGAUACGGGCUGACUUGAGUGCUGUAGGGGAGACUGGAAUUCCUGGUGUAGCGGUGAAAUGCGCAGAUAUCAGGAGGAACACCGAUGGCGAAGGCAGGUCUCUGGGCAGUAACUGACGCUGAGGAGCGAAAGCAUGGGUAGCGAACAGGAUUAGAUACCCUGGUAGUCCAUGCCGUAAACGGUGGGCGCUAGGUGUAGGGGGCUUCCACGUCUUCUGUGCCGUAGCUAACGCAUUAAGCGCCCCGCCUGGGGAGUACGCCGCAAGGCU
rnacentral:rRNA from 1 species